rnacentral:rRNA from 1 species
UGUCCCCAGUAUACUAUGCUCUCUCAAGAUCCGCCGUCAGUGUAGUAUAAUAUUCUCGAGAAGUGAGAUGCUCUAUAUCUCAUAUAUAGUUAGAGAUGAUAUGUAUACUAUAAACGGUAGUAAUAUAGAGUAUACACGUGAUCUCUCUAGAUUAGAGGAGGUUUUUUUUUAGAAAAAAACCAAUAGACGGCGUCUAGUGAGAAAAAUAAACACUUGUCAUAUCGCAUUCAUAUAAAGAUAGGUGUUUUAAGAGUUUGCCCCAUCUCAGUUUUAGGGGGUAGUAUUUGGGAACCCCGGCGCAAAAGGGGGAAAAAAAAAUUGGGGUUUAGUUUUGGGAGGGGGCCCGAGAGAGGGGUACCCCAUCCCCAGGAAGGGGCGCGGGCGUAAAAUUUCCCCUCUCGACACACGGGGGGGGAGACACAAAAAAUCACAGUGGGGAACUUUAGUUUUGCAAUUGGAUUGAGAACAAUGCACAAGAGUUAUCGAUAAACAAUUGGAGGGCAAGUCUGGUGCCAGCAGCCGCGGUAAUGCUAGCGUGCACAGACAUGCC